CCCUCCGUAGGGUAACCUGCGGAGGGAUCAUUACAGAGUUAUCCAACUCCCAAACCCAUGUGAACUUAUCUCUUUGUUGCCUCGGCGCAAGCUACCCGGGACCUCGCGCCCCGGGCGGCCCGCCGGCGGACAAACCAAAACUCUUGUUAUCUUAGUUGAUUAUCUGAGUGUCUUAUUUAAUAAGUCAAAACUUUCAACAACGGAUCUCUUGGUUCUGGCAUCGAUGAAGAACGCAGCGAAAUGCGAUAAGUAAUGUGAAUUGCAGAAUUCAGUGAAUCAUCGAAUCUUUGAACGCACAUUGCGCCCAUUAGUAUUCUAGUGGGCAUGCCUGUUCGAGCGUCAUUUCAACCCCUAAGCACAGCUUAUUGUUGGGAACCUACGGCUUCGUAGUUCCUCAAAGACAUUGGCGGAGUGGCAGUGGUCCUCUGAGCGUAGUAAUCUUUUAUCUCGCUUCUGUUAGGUGCUGCCCCCCCGGCCGUAAAACCCCCAAUUUUUUCUGGUUGACCUCGGAUCAGGUAGGAAUACCCGCUGAACUUAAGCAUAUCAA
rnacentral:rRNA from 1 species